rnacentral:rRNA from 1 species
AUGCCAUUACCAAUACCCAAGGAGUCAUGGCAUCUAAUCACCAUGGACUUUGUGGACGGUCUGCCGCAGUCGGGUCAAUACAACUGUCUGCUUGUUGUUGUCGACAAAAGAAGACGGUUUUCCCACUUCCUACCACUGGCUCACCCCUACACUAUAGCUAAAGUGGCUAUCCUAUACAUGCAGCAACUGUACAAGCUCCAUGGAUUCCCAGUGGAAAUUGUAUCUGACCACGACCCCGUUUUCACCAGCCAUUUUUGGCAAGAACUGUUCAAAUAUGCAGGCACAGAGCUGCGAAUGAGCAUGGCGAACCACCCACAAGCUGACGGCCAAACCGAGAGGGUAAACCAAUGCAUCGAAACUUACCUACGCUGCUUUGUUCAGGCAUGCCCGAAAUGCUGGAGCUUUUGGGUACCCCUGGCGCAGUUCUGUUACAAUUCGUCGCACCACUCGGCCAUCGGAAUGACACCUUUCAAGGCCAUGUUAGGGAGGGAACCAAGACACUGGGGGAUCACUGCUUGUACAUCAUCUUCGGUGCCUGCGUUGCAAACCUGGCUUGAGGAGCGAGGAGAAUGCUGGCAGUUGGGAUUCUGGCUG